GGAAUUACUUGGAUUGUAGAAGCAAUGUUCCCCCAAGAGUCCGUCUGUCCUGGGCAUGUUUGAUGCCCCAGGCUAUGCAGAAUUUGCUGUACAAGGGCUGUAACCACAUGGAACCAGCUUUCAGCAGCUGCUGGGGGAGCAGAUUUGCACAGGAGCCUGGUGAGGGUUGGAGCUUCACCUGGGAGCUGACCUCUCUGAAUCACACAGCGCAGAAGUCUGGGUUCAUCUGGUGAUUUGAGAACUAGCUGCCCCAAUACGAAGCAAGGCUGGCCAGAAAUAGAGAUAAGAGACUGUCAAUAUCUGCUCUUCCCUUCAUGCACACAGGAAGCUUGUAAUGAAAGCUUUAUAUUCAUAUAACUAUUGCCCAGGGGCCACCAUUUUAAUGGAAGUGCCAAGGCUAGGGCUUAACCCCCAGUACAGCUUUUGCUGGAAAUAAGCCUGCCCCCAAAAUACAACAGACCAAUAAAAAUAUUGCACAGCAAUUCAUUAAAAAAAAUCCCAUGAAAGAGACAUUCUUAAAAACAAGGAAAAAUCCCCUUUGGGGGCUUGCAACACAAAUGUUACUCUGUUACUGCACAAAAUUCAGAGUAAACCUGACUAGAAACUGAAGUGAAAGCCAGGCGUCUGUUUUCAUUGUCCAUCAGAAAGAAAUGCCAAGGAACAAGCAAACAGCAGAAAGUGAAAGGCAAAUUGGAUUCUGAAAAGCCUUGGAAGAAUAAGCAUUUGAGGUAACCUCUAUAAAUCAGAGUAUGCAAUGUUUAGCACGCCAGCAUACAUUCAGGUUAAUCAGACUAAAGUCCUGUGCCAUCAGCUGUAUGAAUAACUGAAAAUCGCAACAGACGAGCGAGUGGUACCCACCAUGUCACAGGAGAAAAAUACAAAUGCGGAUGCAAUGGGACUGGUAGGAUUUGCACCUUCACAGAUAAUAAAGAUGACACCUGCAUGCACUGGUCAA